CCUACGGGCGGCAGCAGUGAGGAAUAUUGGUCAAUGGACGAGAGUCUGAACCAGCCAAGUAGCGUGAAGGAUGACUGCCCUAUGGGUUGUAAACUUCUUUUAUAUGGGAAUAAAAUGUUCCACGUGUGGGAUUUUGUAUGUACCAUAUGAAUAAGGAUCGGCUAACUCCGUGCCAGCAGCCGCGGUAAUACGGAGGAUCCGAGCGUUAUCCGGAUUUAUUGGGUUUAAAGGGAGCGUAGGUGGAUUGUUAAGUCAGUUGUGAAAGUUUGCGGCUCAACCGUAAAAUUGCAGUUGAAACUGGCAGUCUUGAGUACAGUAGAGGUGGGCGGAAUUCGUGGUGUAGCGGUGAAAUGCUUAGACAUCACGAAGAACUCCGAUUGCGAAGGCAGUUCACUGGACUGCAACUGACACUGAGGCUCGAAAGUGUGGGUAUCAAACAGGAUUAGAUACCCCUGUAGUC
rnacentral:rRNA from 1 species